rfam:Triticum aestivum genome assembly, contig: Triticum_aestivum_CS42_TGACv1_scaffold_051252_1BS
AUAAUACUCCCUCUGUCCGGAAUUACUUGUCAUUAAAAUGGAUGUGUCUACAACUAAAAUACAUCUAGAUACAUCCAUUUCAAUGACAAGUAUUUUUGGACGGAGGGAGUAGUAG